GAUGAACGCUGGCGGUAUGCUUAACACAUGCAAGUCGAACGGACUCUUCGGAGUUAGUGGCGGACGGGUGAGUAACGCGUGAGAAUCUGGCUUUGGGUUCGGGACAACCACUGGAAACGGUGGCUAAUACCGGAUGUGCCGAGAGGUUAAAGAGAAAUUGCCUGAAGAUGAUCUCGCGUCUGAUUAGCUAGUUGGUGAGGUAAAGGCUCACCAAGGCAGCGAUCAGUAGCUGGUCUGAGAGGAUGACCAGCCACACUGGGACUGAGACACGGCCCAGCCGCCUACGGGAGGAAGCAGUGGGGAAUUUUCCGCAAUGGGCGAAAGCCUGACGGAGCAAUACCGCGUGAGGGAAGAAGGCUCUUGGGUUGUAAACCUCUUUUCUUAGGGAAGAACAAAAUGACGGUACCUAAGGAAUCAGCAUCGGCUAACUCCGUG
rnacentral:rRNA from 1 species